rnacentral:misc_RNA from 1 species
UGAAAUUCUAAGAUAAAUCUAGUUUACCAUGAAUCAUAGAUAUACUGCCAGCCAUGGUAAAUACAUGCUGUAAGACACAGCAAUCAUCGAUUUGUAUUCUUUAGCGUUAAUUGCUUUAGCUAGCCUUUGUGGGUAUAUGCUAGAGAAAAGAAACCGGACGCAGAAUCAUUCAAGAGGAAGAAACUUGAAACAUAAAAUAGCUCCUACUGA